UGUGAAUUCUCUUAUAAAUUUUGUCCCUUUUAACAUCCCCCCAAAUAUCUUAUGUCUUCUGAGACAUGAUAAGAUGCAAUACCCGGGGGAGGAGGCUUGAGAAGAAGCUACCAGAAAAGAAGAGGAGACUACAAUGAUCAGGGCGCCUUCCAUUCAACUCCAUAUUUUGGAUUUGAACUAAAAUCUCAAUGAGGAUACCAGAUUUGGACUUUCGAGAAACUAUAGAGUGCUAAGAUUAUGGUGCCUCUUGGAGAUGGACUACAUGUGUUUUGAAUUAAGAGAGGGGCAUUAGCAUUUUGGAUGACAGAGAAAAGAUUGUCAUCAUACAAACUGAAGUGCAAGCAAGACAACACCAUAUCCCCAAGAGUCAGACACAACAGGAUCAACCCAUCAAAGUGCUAUCUCCCAAAGGAAGCUCAGUUUCAGAGUAAACAGUAAGGAUGUAUGGUCCAGAGAAGCAUCUCAUGUGAAGUCACACUGACACAUCUCCUGAGAGACCUAAAGCCUGGGAGACUAGCUUUUUGAGUUCUUUGUAUAUUUUGGCGAUCAGCCCUCUGUACAAAGUGGGGUUGGUGAAGAUCUGUUCCCAUUCUGUGGGCUGCCAAACAGCUUCAGAUUGCACCUCCUUGCCUUCCUACCAGGGAUAUCUGGAUGUGAUGUCUACUGUCUGUAAUUCCAAAAAGAUCUCUGUGUGUUUCAGGCCAGCCUGAUCUACAUACCGAAUUUUAGACCAGCUAGGGCUAUAUAGUAAGACACUGCCUCAGACAUUUUUGAGUUUGUUAUAUACUUACAUUUAUAAAAUUCAUACGUUUAUAUGCAUGAUAAUGAUGGUUUUUAGCAUGUUUAUUCAUGAAAAAGACAGCUCUGUGAUUUUCUAUACUAUCCUUUUUCUGGUUUGAGCUUCAUGAAGUAUGCGUAUAUGUAAUAAAAACAUUAAAUGUUAUAUAUGUUGCAUAUAGCACACUCAUGAUUUUAUAUACAUAUGUGUUCCUAAAAUAAAGUUGUGUCUUGCCACUUUU